AAGCUUAUGAUGGUAAAAAAGAAAAUCUUAGCGGAUUUCAGUGAGGUUUAUUGAUAAAUGAUCUGAAUUUGUCACACACUGAAGUAU